rnacentral:rRNA from 1 species
GUCUAUGGCCAUGCUACCCUGAACAAGUCCGAUCCUGUCUGAUCUCGGAAGCUAAGCAUGGUUGGGCCUGGUUAUUACUUGGAUGGGAGAUCACCUAGGAAGACCAGGUGCUGUAGGAG